UACGUAGGGUGCAAGCGUUGUCCGGAAUUAUUGGGCGUAAGAGCUCGUAGGCGGUCUGUCGCGUCUGCUGUGAAAACUCGGGGCUUAACCCCGGGCCUGCAGUGGGUACGGGCAGACUAGAGUGCGGUAGGGGAGACUGGAAUUCCUGGUGUAGCGGUGAAAUGCGUAGAUAUCUGGAGGAACACCGGUGCGAAGGCGGCAUCCUGGGUCGGUAUUGACGCUGAGGAGCGAAAGCCAGGGGAGCAAACGGGG
rnacentral:rRNA from 1 species